rnacentral:rRNA from 1 species
UGCAAGUCGAGCGGUAGCACAGAGAAGCUUGCUCUCGGGUGACGAGCGGCGGACGGGUGAGUAAUGUCUGGGAAACUGCCUGAUGGAGGGGGAUAACUACUGGAAACGGUAGCUAAUACCGCAUAACGUCGCAAGACCAAAGUGGGGGACCUUCGGGCCUCAUGCCAUCAGAUGUGCCCAGAUGGGAUUAGCUGGUAGGUGGGGUAACGGCUCACCUAGGCGACGAUCCCUAGCUGGUCUGAGAGGAUGACCAGCCACACUGGAACUGAGACACGGUCCAGACUCCUACGGGAGGCAGCAGUGGGGAAUAUUGCACAAUGGGCGCAAGCCUGAUGCAGCCAUGCCGCGUGUGUGAAGAAGGCCUUCGGGUUGUAAAGCACUUUCAGCGGGGAGGAAGGCGGUGAGGUUAAUAACCUCGCCGAUUGACGUUACCCGCAGAAGAAGCACCGGCUAACUCCGUGCCAGCAGCCGCGGUAAUACGGAGGGUGCAAGCGUUAAUCGGAAUUACUGGGCGUAAAGCGCACGCAGGCGGUCUGUCAAGUCGGAUGUGAAAUCCCCGGGCUCAACCUGGGAACUGCAUUCGAAACUGGCAGGCUAGAGUCUUGUAGAGGGGGGUAGAAUUCCAGGUGUAGCGGUGAAAUGCGUAGAGAUCUGGAGGAAUACCGGUGGCGAAGGCGGCCCCCUGGACAAAGACUGACGCUCAGGUGCGAAAGCGUGGGGAGCAAACAGGAUUAGAUACCCUGGUAGUCCACGCUGUAAACGAUGUCGAUUUGGAGGUUGUGCCCUUGAGGCGUGGCUUCCGGAGCUAACGCGUUAAAUCGACCGCCUGGGGAGUACGGCCGCAAGGUUAAAACUCAAAUGAAUUGACGGGGGCCCGCACAAGCGGUGGAGCAUGUGGUUUAAUUCGAUGCAACGCGAAGAACCUUACCUGGUCUUGACAUCCACAGAACUUAGCAGAGAUGGUUUGGUGCCUUCGGGAACUGUGAGACAGGUGCUGCAUGGCUGUCGUCAGCUCGUGUUGUGAAAUGUUGGGUUAAGUCCCGCAACGAGCGCAACCCUUAUCCUUUGUUGCCAGCGGUUAGGCCGGGAACUCAAAGGAGACUGCCAGUGAUAAACUGGAGGAAGGUGGGGAUGACGUCAAGUCAUCAUGGCCCUUACGACCAGGGCUACACACGUGCUACAAUGGCAUAUACAAAGAGAAGCGACCUCGCGAGAGCAAGCGGACCUCAUAAAGUAUGUCGUAGUCCGGAUUGGAGUCUGCAACUCGACUCCAUGAAGUCGGAAUCGCUAGUAAUCGUAGAUCAGAAUGCUACGGUGAAUACGUUCCCGGGCCUUGUACACACCGCCCGUCACACCAUGGGAGUGGGUUGCAAAAGAAGUAGGUAGCUUAACCUUCGGGAGGGCGCUUACC